AAGUGGGGUGAUAAUGGGGUGGCCAAAAAGGGUCAAGGGAUGUAAAAAAACCCAACAUAAUGGGUUAAGUAGGUUAAGUUUUAAUUGUGAAAUACAGUUACUUUGAAUUUUCUGCAGAAAGUGGUCUGUGUUUGUGGUGUUGAGCUGGAAAGAGUGUAAUUUGUGAAAAU